CCCUUAGAUGUUCUGGGCCGCACGCGUGCUACACUGAGUAAUUCAAUGGGUGAGGGAACGCUAGAGCAUUACCUAAUCUUGAAAUUUGCUCGUGAUGGGGAUCGACGGUUGCAAUUUUCCGUCGUGAACGAGGAAUACCUUGUAGGCGCAUGUCAUCAUCAUGCGCCGAAUACGUCCCUGCCCUUUGUACACACCGCCCGUCGCUCCUACCGAUUGAGUGAUCCGGUGAGGCUCUGGGACCUGGACGGAAAGAGCGUUUCGCUUGUUCUGUUUGGGAAACUUGGUCGAACCUUAUCAUUUAGAGGAAGGAGUAGUCGUAACA
rnacentral:rRNA from 1 species